rnacentral:lncRNA from 1 species
CUUCUAUCUACCCUUUUGCUCUUUUUUUCUUUUCUUUAAUUUUUGUUGUUGUUGUUUGUUUGUUUGUUUGAGGCAGGGUCUCACUCUGUCGCCCAGGCUGGAGUGCAGUGGCGCGAUCAUGGCUCACUGCAGCCUUGACCUCCCAGGCUCAAGCAAUUCUCCUACCUCAGCCUCCCAAAAUGCUGGGAUUACAGGCGUGAGCCACGGCGCCUAGCAGCUUUUUUUUUUUUAAACUUAACAUUUUUUUAAAAAAGUAUUACAGGUGUACUAACUAUAUGCAUAACUGGGGUACAAAUGUGAAAGCCUCCUUUGACCUCGCACUCUUCUGUCUCUUGCCUGGAGGUACCCCCUGCUAACGCUGUGGUGCUGUGGCCUGCAUCUCCACAGGUACCUGCAGACAUGGCCCUUGAUCCUUCUGAUUGUAUGUGUUGUUCCCUGCUGGCUUUGGCGUCAGUGGACCUCACAGCCUUAGGAUAUUUGCAUGUGCUGUUCCCUGUCUCCACCACUCUUGUCUGACUGUCCAGGUCGACCCUGGUGAAUUUGUGGCCUGGGGCCUAAGUGCAUGCCUGAGCCCGCUCUAACUUUUUUAGCAGGAGGUAGACCUUUGGAGGCACCCUAACACCAACCAGGCUGCGUCUGAGCUCUGCCAGGCCGUGGCCAGCAGCUGGAAGUGAUGAGCUGUCCAGAGGCACCCUCCCCGAGCCCAGUACCAACCUCAAGGCUGCGGAUCUCCCCAUGGCUGCACGGCACAGCGAGAUCUGCUCCACCAUGUUCUGCAGUUCCUGGCUCUUGCUCCUUCCUGGACCUGUCCUCCCGGAGCCGUCUCUCUGCACGCUGCAGCAUCAGCUUGGCCAUCUGCCCAGACAGCGGACCUGCCACGGUGAGUGGGGCUGCUCCGGCUUCCCUGCCUGGUCCCGCCCCAGCCCAGGGCGCAGCAUGAGGUCUGAAGGUGGACCCAGUCCCUGCCCUUGAAUCACCCCAGAACCCAGGUCUAAGCCCAUUCACUCCUGGCGGUGCUCUGGAAGUUGGGCCUGCGGGGAACUUCCACCUCAUGUCCUCUCCCUUCCUCCCAGUGUGGUCUUGGGGGGAACCUUCCUGCAUCUGAAGCCACCCAGUUUGUGGUACUUUGCUGUAGUAGCCCUAGAGACCCAGUGCACCCAGUAGCAACGUAGGCUGUUCACAGUGGAGGGAACCAGGGUAGGGGGCCCGGGGUAGGGGGGACGUGGAAUACCC